rnacentral:misc_RNA from 1 species
AAAGGGCCCUUCUGGUAUUCAUUCUGAUCUAGCUUUUGUCAAAUUUUUUUUUUAAUUAUUAUUAAAACAUGUUUGUUUUUGUUACUUGAUGUCUUAAAGAGAAAAGCAGGUUUUUACAACAAAGAAAAACCACAAAAAUUGUUUUCACUUGUUUCAUUAAUUCGUUUUUCAAGAUUUACUACUGGACAACAACAACCAAAAACAACAUGGAUGCCAAAUAGGCUCUAAAUUUUACAAUCUUUUUUUGAGUUCCA